rnacentral:rRNA from 1 species
AUUGAACGCUGGCGGCAGGCCUAACACAUGCAAGUCGAGCGGAUGACGGGAGCUUGCUCCUGGAUUCAGCGGCGGACGGGUGAGUAAUGCCUAGGAAUCUGCCUGGUAGUGGGGGACAACGUUUCGAAAGGAACGCUAAUACCGCAUACGUCCUACGGGAGAAAGCAGGGGACCUUCGGGCCUUGCGCUAUCAGAUGAGCCUAGGUCGGAUUAGCUUGUUGGUGAGGUAAUGGGUCACCAAGGAGACGAUCCGUAACUGGGCUGAGAGGAUGAUCAGUCAAACUGGAACUGAGACACGGUCCAGACUCCUACGGGAGGCAGCAGUGGGGAAUAUUGGACAAUGGGCGAAAGCCUGAUCCAGCCAUGCCGCGUGUGUGAAGAAGGUCUUCGGAUUGUAAAGCACUUUAAGUUGGGAGGAAGGGUUGUAGAUUAAUACUCUGCAAUUUUGACGUUACCGACAGAAUAAGCACCGGCUAACUCUGUGCCAGCCGCCGCCGUAA